AACGAACGCUGGCGGCAUGCCUAACACAUGCAAGUCGAACGAGACCUUCGGGUCUAGUGGCGCACGGGUGCGUAACGCGUGGGAACCUGCCCUUAGGUUCGGAAUAACUCCCCGAAAGGGGUGCUAAUACCGGAUAAUGUCUUCGGACCAAAGAUUUAUCGCCUUUGGAUGGGCCCGCGUUGGCUUAGCUUGUUGGUAGGGUAAAAGGCUCCCAAGGCGACGAUCCAUAGCUGGUCUGUGAGGAUGAGCAGCCACACUGGGACUGAGACACGGCCCAGAAUCCUACGGGAGGCAGCAGUGGGGAAUAUAGGACAAUGGGCGAAAGCCUGAUCCAGCAAUGCCGCGUGAGUGAUGAAGGCCUUAGGGUUGUAAAGCUCUUUUACCCGGGAUGAUAAUGACAGUACCGGGAGAAUAAGCUCCGGCUAACUCCGUG
rnacentral:rRNA from 1 species